rnacentral:rRNA from 1 species
UUGACCUCGGAUCAGGUAGGGAUACCCGCUGAACUUAAUCAUAUCAAUAAGCGGAGGAAA